rnacentral:rRNA from 1 species
GACGAACGCUGGCGGCGUGCCUAAUACAUGCGAGUUGAGCGAUGAAGAUUGGUGCUUGCACCAAUUUGAAGAGCAGCGAACGGGUGAGUAACGCGUGGGGAAUCUGCCUUUGAGCGGGGGACAACAUUUGGAAACGAAUGCUAAUACCGCAUAACAACUUUAAACAUAAGUUUUAAGUUUGAAAGAUGCAAUUGCAUCACUCAAAGAUGAUCCCGCGUUGUAUUAGCUAGUUGGUGAGGUAAAGGCUCACCAAGGCGAUGAUACAUAGCCGACCUGAGAGGGUGAUCGGCCACAUUGGGACUGAGACACGGCCCAAACUCCUACGGGAGGCAGCAGUAGGGAAUCUUCGGCAAUGGACGAAAGUCUGGCCGAGCAACGCCGCGUGAGUGAAGAAGGGUUUCGGAUCGUAAAACUCUGUUGGUAGAGAAGAACGUUGGUGAGAGUGGAAAGCUCAUCAAGUGACGGUAACUACCCAGAAAGGGACGGCUAACUACGUG